CAGGCUCAUGGGUGGAAGGGGUUUGCCUUGUCUGGGAUGAGACUUUGGAUUGGACUUUUGGGUUAAUGCUGGAAUGAGAUGGAAUCUUGCUCUGUUGUCCAGGAUGGAGUGCAAUGGUGCAAACCUGGCUCACUGCAAUCUCUGUCUCUUGGGUUCAAGUUAUUCUCCUACCUCAGCCUCCUGAGUAGCUGGGAUUACAGGCACCCACCACCACACCCAACUAAUUUUUGUAUUUUUAGUAGAGAUGAGGUUUCAUCAUGUUUGCCAGGCUGGUCUCAAACUCCUGACCUCAAUUGAUCCACCCGCCUCAACCUCCCAAAGUGCUGGUUGUUAUAACUUCUGUUCUUUUUGUCUUUUGGCUCCGUUUACAGAAGUAUAUGCAUUUGGAUCUUGGCUGUUCUUUAAUUGUUAAAAUAGCUGAAGAUCACUGUGAGUGUUUGUGUAAAAAGUGGGGAGUUAUGCUCCAUUUCCUUGAAGUUGAAGUACUGGCAAAAAUUUCUUUGAGUUCUUCUACAUGGUAGUUAUGUCUAUUUCCCACAUUUAUUUAUUUAUUUAAGGUUUUUUAUAUUAGCACAGACUUAUGGAUAUUUAUUUUAUUCUUUGUAUUAUAUUCCAUUACUAAAUUAUUUGUUACUCAAGGAGCUCUUGAUUUUUUUUAUUGUAAAUUGUAGGAGCAAGCCAUAUUUUGGCAGUAGGUAUGCUCACUGCUACUGGGGCAUCAUGCUUCUAGGCCCUCUCAGAUGACAGAGGAAGAAAACUUAUGUAUGCAUACUAUACUGUGUAUAAACUCAUUAUAAGUAUUUUAAUAUUUAUCCAUCCAUAGUAUGUUCAGGUAGACAUAAUACUGAUGUCUCCAACACUAAACCAUUACCAUAUGAAUUAUCCUAGCCUUCUUUCCUUCUUUGCAACCUCCCAGUUCAACAGUGAGAAACUUGGCUUCCACAAUUCACCACUGAUUUACUUAAUGUUUUAAUUGCUUAGAUAUGAGUAGUUAUUUCCAAAUUUCUAAAUUGUUAAUCACAGUCUUGUGGGGAAAAUACUUUAUGAACUAGAGUAUAGUGCAAGUGUAUAGUUUCUUUGCGUUAGUCUUACAGAUUCCACUCAUUUCCAAAGCUGCUUAGAUCAGCAAUAUUUUCCCCAGCCCCUUCAGUGAGGUGGUUUUCAGAUAUUUGUAAUAUAGUUUAAUUUUUCUCAUUCUUAAUUUUAUUUCUAGUUUUGCCAAAUUCCUAAAUAAUUUAAUUUGUGUAUACUAGCUUCACCCUUUCUUUUUUAACUUUUGAAAAUGUUUUAUUUAUUUUUAUUUUUUAAUUCAAUGAUUUUUGGGGUAUGUGUGGUUUUUUAGUACAUGGAUAAGUUCCUUAGUGGUGAUUUCCAAGAUUUUGGGGCACCCAUCACCUGGAAAGUGUACAAUGUACCCAUUGUGUAGUCUUUUAUCCCUUGCCCCCUUCCCACCAUUCUGUUCAACUCCCCAAAGUCCAUGCCUUUGUGAUCUCAUAAUUUAGCUCCCACUUAUAAGUAAGAGCAUACGACGUCUGGUUUUCCAUUCUUGAGUUACUUCACUUAGAACAAUGGUCUUCAACUCCAUCCAGGUUGUAGCGAAUGCCAUUAUGUCAUUCCUUUUUAUGGUUGAGUAGUAUUUCAUCAUAUAUAUAUAUAUUACACUUUCCUUUUCCAUUUCUUGGCUCAUGGACAUUUAGGCAGGUUCCAUAUUUUUGCAAUUGCAAAUUGUGCUGCUAUAAACAUGCAUGUGCAAGUGUCCUUUUCGUAUAAUGACUUCUUUUCCUCUGGGUAGAUACCCAGUAAUGGAAUUGCUGGAUCAAAUUGUAGUCCUACUCUUAGUUCUUUAAGGAAUCUCCAUACCAUUUUCCACAGUGGUUGUACUACUUUACAUUCCUACCAGCAGUGUAAAGUGUACCCUUUCACUACAUCCAUUCCAACAUCUAUUAUUAUUUUUUUAUUUUUUUAACUAUAAUCAUUCUUUCAGGAGUAAGAUGUUAUUUCAUUGUGGUUUUAUUUUGCAUUUCCCUGAUAUCAGCAAUGUUGAGCAAUAUUUUCAUAUGUUGUUGGACAUUCAUAUAUUUUCCUUUGAGAUUGUCUAUUCAUGUCACUUCUCCACUUGUUGAUGAGAUUAUUUGCCUUUUUCUUGCUGAUUGUUUGAUUUCCUUGUAAAUUCUGGAUGUUAUUCCUUUGUUGGAUGCCUAGUUUGAGAAUAUUUUCUCCCACUCUGUGGAUUUUCUGUUUAAUCUGCUGGUUAUUUCUUUUGCUGGGCAGGUGCCAUUUAAUUUCUAUUAUAAAUUUCUAUGGGUUUGAUAAACACAUAGUAUCAUGAUCUACGAUUACAGUAUCAUACAGAAUCUUUUCACCAUCCUACAGUACUUUACCUCUUCAAUCCAUGUAACCUAUUUUCCUUGAAAGGCAUUGUUUUCUUUUUUUAAAUAACUUUUAAAAUUUACAGCAGUUUUAUGAUUACAAAAAAUGUGCAAAAAUAAUACAGUGUCCCAUAUUUCCAAAGCCACUUUAUUCUUGGUGGAAAUACUUUCCUUUUCACCCUGAUAGUUUUGAGGGCUAGUGGCCAGGUGUUUUUGUAUGAUAUCCCUCACUGGGAUCUAUGUGCUGUAAUCUCUAGAUUGAGAUUAUAGAUUUAGGAAGCAGAUAACAGUAACAGAGUUACAGUGCCAUUCUUGUCACAUCAUAUCAGAGUUGCCAUAAAACCCUGGCAAUCGCUGAUUUGUUUACCAUCUCUAUAGUAAUACGUUUGCAGAAUAUUUUAUGAAUGAAAUCAUACAGUAUGUAGUUUUUUUACAGACUUUUAGUCUUUUAGUAGUUCUAGGUUCACACAAAAAUUAAGGGGAAGGUACAGAAAUUUCCUAUAUACUCUUUGCUCAACACAUGCGCAACCUCCUACAUUAUGAACAGCCCCCUCCAGAGGGAUUCAUUUGUUACAAAUGAUGAACCUGCAUUGACACAUCAUCAUCACCCAAAGUCUCUAGUUUAGGUUUCACUCUUGGAGUUGUAAAUUCCAUGGUUUUGGACAAAUGUGUGAUGAUAUGUAUUUAUUGUCAUAGUACACAGUGUAGUUUCACUGGCCUCAAUUUCUUCUGUGCUCUGCCAACACAUCCCUUUCUUCCCACCCCAACUUCUGACAACCGCUCCACUAAUAACUUACUGUCUCCAUAAUUUUGCCCUUUCUAGAAUGUCAAAUCAUUGGAAUCAUGCAGUAUGUAGCCUUCUUAUGUUGGCUGAUUUUACUGAGUAAUAUUUUCCUCGAGUUGCCUCCAUAUCUUUUCAGGACUUCAUGACUCAUUUUUUAAAUUACUGAAUAAUAUUUCAUUGUCCGUAUGUACCACAGUUUAUCCAUUCACCUUUUGAUGGACAUCUUGGCUGCCUCUAAGUAUUCAUGAUUAUUAAUAAAGUUACUAUAAACAUCCUUGUACAGGAUUUUGUGUACACAUAUGUUUUCAAUUCCUUGGGUAAAUAUCAAGGAGUAUUAUGGUUGGAUCAUAUGGAAAAAAUAUGUUUAGUUUUUUAAGGAGCUGCAAAACUCCAAAGUGGCUGUAGAAUUUUUCAUUCCCACCCACGAUGAAUGAGUUAUUGUUGCUCCACAUUUUCUCCCUAAUUUGGUUUUGUCAGUGUUCCAAAUUUUGGCUAUUUUAGUAGAUGUGUAGAGGUAUCUUAUUGUUGUUUUAAUAUGCAUUUUUCAGAAAAUAUAUAAUGGGGUGUGAUACGGUUAGGCUCUGUGUCCCCACCCAUAUAUCAUCUUGAAUUGCAAUCCCCAUAAUCCCCACUUGUUGAGGACAGAACCUGGUGGGAGGUGAUUGGAUCAUGAGGGUGGUUCCCCCAGGCUGUUUUUAUGACAGGGAGUGAGUUCUCAUGAGAUCUGAUGCUUUUAUAAGUGUUUGACAGUUCCUCCUAUGCAUGCAUUCUAUCUCUCCCCUGCCACUAUGUAAGAUGUGCCUCUUCCCCUUCUGCCAUGAUUGUGUAAGGUUUCUGAAGCCUUUCCAGCCAUGCAGAACUGGGAGUCAAUUAGAUCUCUUUCUUUUAUAAAUUACCCAGUCUCAAGUAUUUCUUUAUAGCAACACAAGAACAGACUAAUACAGGGGACAUCUUUUAGUAUGUUUAUAUGCAUCUGUGUAACUUUUUAGAGUAGGUAUUAGGUGUUUGGCCCAUUUUUAAAUUGAGUUGCUUGUUUUCUCAUUGUUCAGUUUUAUUAGUUCUCUGUAUAUUUUGGAUAAUAGUCCUUAUCAAAUGAAUCUUUUACAAAUAUUUUUUCCCAGUCAAUGGUUUAUCUUAUUCUCUUGAUAUUGUCUUUCAUGUGGCAGAAUUUUUUUUAUUUUAAUGAAGUCCAGCUUAUUCAUUUUUUAAAAAUAGAUCAUGCCCUUGGUGUUACAUCUAAAAUGUCACUUCAGUACCCAAGGUCAUCUAGGUUUUCUCCCAUGUAAUUUUCAGGGAGUUUUAUAGUUGUGCAAUUGACAUUUAGCUCUAUGAUCCAGUCUCUUAUAAUCCAGUCUUUUCAGAUUGGCUUCUUACAUUGAUCAAUGUGCACUUAAAAUGUAUUAAUGUCUUUCAGGGUCUUGAUUCCCUUUAGUUCCUGAAUUGUGUUCUAUUAUAUAAAUGUACCACAGCUUGUUGGUAUGUUCAUCUUUUUUGUUAGUAUUUUCACCUUUAUGAAACACUUUUGGCUACCAUAAACACUUUCAUGCAAAUUUUGUGUAGACAUAACUUAUCAGAUUAGUUGGGUUGUAUGUCUUACUGUGUAAGAAACUCCAACUGUCUUCUGAAGUUGCUUCACCACUUUGCAUUCUUACUAGCAGUGAAUGAGAAUUCCUACUACUUCACAUUGUUGCCAGCAGUUAAUAUAAUCAGUUUUUUUGGACUUUAGACAUUCUAUUAUGUUUGCGGUCAUUUCUCAUUGUUGUUUUAAUUUGCACUUCCCUAAAGAUGAAUUAUACUGUACUUAUUAUCAUAUGCUUAUUUAGCAUUCACAUAUAUUGUUUGAUGUUCAAAUCUUUUGUUUACUUUUAAAUUAGGUUGUUAGUUUUAAUAGGCCUUUGUACAUUUUGGAUUUUGUCUUUGAUGAAAUACAUGUUUUGCAAAUAUUUUUCCCAGUCUGUGUCUUGUCUUUCCAUUCUCAUAUUACUAUCUUUCUCAGGGCACACAUUUAUAAUCUUAAGAAAAUAAAGAAUAUCCAGGAAUGAUUUACAUAUUAGUAAUUUAUUUACAGGUUACCAAAAGACAAACCAUGAUUGGAAUGAUGAGAGUCUGAUCCCUUUUUCAUGCUGUUCCUGAAGUCUAGCUUGCCCUCAUCAAGAAACAGGCUCAAUGAACCAAUGUUAUCUUUAUGAAGCUUUAUUUUCACAUUUAGACAUGUGAUUCAUCUGGAAUUGACUUUGUGCAGGGUUUGAGGUACAGACCAAGGUUUCUUAUGUAAAUUUCCUGUUUAUUUAAUAUUUAUCCGAAGGUAAUCUUUUCUGUACUGCAGUGGUACUUUAAUGAUAGAUAAUUCAGUUGUCUGCAGUCAUAGUGGAUCUAAACGUGAAUUCACUAUUCUGUUUCUGCUAUAAUUAUUUGCAUAUCCCUAUGCACACACACAUCUUUUAAAUGACAAGAGAUGUUUAAAUAUGUUUGGAUAUCUAGUAAUGUGAGUUCAUUAUUAAGGGUCUUUUGUUUGCAUUUCUAAAUAAAUUUUAGAAUUAAGCUUGUUUGCUUCCAUAAAAGAAAAUGCUUGGCUUUGAGUUAUAAUGGGUAAAUCUAUGGGUUAAUAGAGAGAUAAGACCUUAAUCGUGUUAAAUUGUGCAAUAAAUAAACUCAAUAUAGUUCCCCA